rnacentral:rRNA from 1 species
AGUGAACGCUGGCGGUAGGCCUAACACAUGCAAGUCGAACGGCAGCACAGAGGAGCUUGCUCCUUGGGUGGCGAGUGGCGGACGGGUGAGGAAUACAUCGGAAUCUACUCUGUCGUGGGGGAUAACGUAGGGAAACUUACGCUAAUACCGCAUACGACCUACGGGUGAAAGCAGGGGAUCUUCGGACCUUGCGCGAUUGAAUGAGCCGAUGUCGGAUUAGGUAGUUGGCGGGGUAAAGGCCCACCAAGGCGACGAUCCGUAGCUGGUCUGAGAGGAUGAUCAGCCACACUGGAACUGAGACACGGUCCAGACUCCUACGGGAGGCAGCAGUGGGGAAUAUUGGACAAUGGGCGCAAGCCUGAUCCAGCCAUACCGCGUGGGUGAAGAAGGCCUUCGGGUUGUAAAGCCCUCUUGUUGGGAAAGAAAUCCAUCUGGUUAAUACCCGGGUGGGAUGACGGUAUCCAAAGAAUAAGCACCGGCUAACUUCGUGCCAGCCGCCGCGGUAA